rnacentral:sRNA from 1 species
CUAUCUUGACAAGAUUCCGGUGUCGAGUAUUUCGCAGUGUUUCGCAUUCGGACGUGAAACUCUUGAGUGCCUUUGGAGUUUCCAGCUUUAGUACCUUCACGGCAACAAGACUUGUGAUUUCACCAUCUUGACUAUCAAAUUCUCCUUUGUAAACAGAGCCAAAAGAUCCAGAACCCAACAAAUGGCUGGACGAAAAACCAUCCGUUGCUUUUACCAGCUGCUUGUAAGUGAUCAUUGGGUGGCCUUGCAUGGAUGUCGUUGCAGGGACUUCUUUCUUUCUUCUCUUAUG